rnacentral:rRNA from 1 species
GAUGAACGCUGGCGGCGUGCCUAAUACAUGCAAGUCGAGCGAACAGACGAGGAGCUUGCUCCUCUGACGUUAGCGGCGGACGGGUGAGUAACACGUGGAUAACCUACCUAUAAGACUGGGAUAACUUCGGGAAACCGGAGCUAAUACCGGAUAAUAUAUUGAACCGCAUGGUUCAAUAGUGAAAGACGGUUUUGCUGUCACUUAUAGAUGGAUCCGCGCCGCAUUAGCUAGUUGGUAAGGUAACGGCUUACCAAGGCAACGAUGCGUAGCCGACCUGAGAGGGUGAUCGGCCACACGGGAACUGAGACACGGUCCAGACUCCUACGGGAGGCAGCAGUAGGGAAUCUUCCGCAAUGGGCGAAAGCCUGACGGAGCAACGCCGCGGGAGUGAUGAAGGUCUUCGGAUCGUAAAACUCUGUUAUUAGGGAAAAACAAAUGUGUAAGUAACUAUGCACGUCUGGACGGUACCUAAUCAGAAAGCCACGGCUAACUACGU